CAGUCGCCACGGGAAUACGUAGGGUGCAAGCGUUAAUCGGAAUUACUGGGCGUAAAGCGCGCGCAGGCGGUCCGUUAAGACAGAUGUGAAAUCCCCGGGCUUAACCUGGGAACUGCAUUUGUGACUGGCGGGCUAGAGUAUGGCAGAGGGGGGUAGAAUUCCACGUGUAGCAGUGAAAUGCGUAGAGAUGUGGAGGAAUACCGAUGGCGAAGGCAGCCUCCUGGGCCAAUACUGACGCUCAUGCACGAAAGCGUGGGGAGCAAACAGGAUUAGAGACCCGAGUAGUCCCUGUCUCUUAUAC
rnacentral:rRNA from 1 species